GUGCAUGCGCUGCCUAUACAUGCAGUCGAACGAAACUUUCUUACACCGAAGGCUUGCAUUCACCGUAAGAAGUUGAGUGGCGGACGGGUGAGUAACACGUGGGUAACCUGCCUAAAAGAAGGGGAUAACACUUGGAAACAGGUGCUAAUACCGUAUAUCUCUAACGAUCGCAUGAUCCUUAGAUGAAAGAUGGUUCUGCUAUCGCUUUUAGAUGGACCCGCGGCGUAAUAACUAGUUGGUGGGGUAACGGCCUACCAAGGUGAUGAUACGUACCCCAACUGAGAGGUUGAUCGGCCACAUUGGGACUGAGACACGGCCCAAACUCCUACGGGAGGCAGCAGUAGGGAAUCUUCCACAAUGGACGCAAGUCUGAUGGAGCAACGCCGCGUGAGUGAAGAAGGUCUUCGGAUCGUAAAACUCUGUUGUUAGAGAACAACACGAGUGAGAGUAACUGUUCAUUCGAUGACGGUAUCUAACCAGCAAGUCACGGCUAACUACGUGCCAGCAGCCGCGGUAAUACGUAGGUGGCAAGCGUUGUCCGGAUUUAUUGGGCGUAAAGGGAACGCAGGCGGUCUUUUAAGUCUGAUGUGAAAGCCUUCGGCUUAACCGGAGUAGUGCAUUGGAAACUGGAAGACUUGAGUGCAGAAGAGGAGAGUGGAACUCCAUGUGUAGCGGUGAAAUGCGUAGAUAUAUGGAAGAACACCAGUGGCGAAAGCGGCUCUCUGGUCUGUAACUGACGCUGAGGUUCGAAAGCGUGGGGUAGCAAACAGGAUUAGAUACCCUGGUAGUCCACGCCGUAAACGAUGAAUGCUAGGUGUUUGGAAGGGUUUCCGCCCCUUCAGUGCCGGCAGCUAACGCAAUAAGCAUUCCGCC
rnacentral:rRNA from 2 species